UAAGCGGAGGAAAAGAAACUAACUAAGAUUGCCCCAGUAACGGCGAGUGAAGCGGCAAAAGCCCAAAAUGGAAAUCUUCGUACUGCGUACGACGAAUUGUAAUCUAAAGAGCGGAAGCUCACCGGGUAGUGGCGCAGAAGUGACUUAGAACGGUCCGCCAUAGAGGGUGACAGCCCCGUAUGUGGUGCCACUGCCUAACGAGCCCUGUUCAAUGAGUCGGAUAGUUUUGAAUUGCUGUCCUAAGCGGGAGAUAGACUUCUUCUAAGGCUAAAUAUUUAUGGGAAACCGAUAGCGAACAAGUACUGUGAAGGAAAGAUGAAAAGAACUUUGAAAAGAGAGUCAAAAGACUUGAAAUCGUUGAGAAGGAAGCGGUAGAAAUUUAUUCUUCUGGUGAUAACAAAGUGUACAUCUAGCGUAUUGGUGGGGUUUAGUACGUCAAAGGCUAGCUUUACCACGUGCGUUUAUGUUUGCGGAGUUCUCAUUAGUGAGGCAAAAUGGUGCUUCGUCUCCACAUAAGCUGCUCAAACCUAGCUUCACGGCAGUUUGGGUGUGUUAGUGGGUGCGGUGCACGAGGAAGCUUUGUGCGAUUUUGCCAAAAUGGUUUUUACCGACCCGUCUUGAAACACGGACCAAGGAGUCUAAC
rnacentral:rRNA from 1 species